UUGCUUUGGCAGCACAUACACUGAAAUUGGAAUGGUACAGAGACGAUCAGCGUGGCCCCUGCACAAGGACGGCAUGCGGAUUUGUGAAGUGUUCCCUAUUUUU